rnacentral:rRNA from 1 species
UAAUACCGGAUAACACAUAUCUUCGCAUGAGGAUAUGUUAGAAGGUGGCUUUUAGCUACCACUCAAGGAUGGGCCCGCGGCGCAUUAGCUAGUUGGUGAGGUAACGGCUCACCAAGGCRACGAUGCGUAGCCGACCUGAGAGGGUGAUCGGCCACACUGGGACUGAGACACGGCCCAGACUCCUACGGGAGGCAGCAGUAGGGAAUCUUCCGCAAUGGACGAAAGUCUGACGGAGCAACGCCGCGUGAGUGAUGAAGGUUUUCGGAUCGUAAAGCUCUGUUGUUAGGGAAGAACAAGUAYCUGUURAAUAAGCAGGUACCUUGACGGUACCUAACCAGAAAGCCACGGCUAACUACGUGCCAGCAGCCGCGGUAAUACGUAGGUGGCAAGCGUUGUCCGGAAUUAUUGGGCGUAAAGCGCGCGCAGGCGGUUCCUUAAGUCUGAUGUGAAAGCCCACGGCUCAACCGUGGAGGGUCAUUGGAAACUGGGGAACUUGAGUGCAGAAGAGGAGAGCGGAAUUCCACGUGUAGCGGUGAAAUGCGUAGAGAUGUGGAGGAACACCAGUGGCGAAGGCGGCUCUCUGGUCUGUAACUGACGCUGAGGCGCGAAAGCGUGGGGAGCGAACAGGAUUAGAUACCCUGGUAGUCCACGCCGUAAACGAUGAGUGCUAAGUGUUAGAGGGUUU